rnacentral:lncRNA from 1 species
CUCCUGUUCCUUAGCUAUGCUUGGAAUUUUUUUGUAGGACAUUAUUCUGUUCUCUUGGGAAGUUGGGAAGGGUUUUUAUGCUUGGCAUGGUGCUCAUAAACACUUCCUAGAAAUGCUGCUUUUCAACAGUUUUUAUCUGAAAGAAGAGAUGUUAAGAACCUAGUUUACAUAAUUCAAAUUUGGUGCUCUCAGGAUUGUUUCAGGUGUAAAAAUCCCCGAUUUCUCAGUGUGCCAUUGCUCUCUGGUGCUCUGAAUGCAUUUUGUAAUCAGUAAAUGUAUUAGUAACUGCAGAUGUUAAUCAAUCACUUUGAUAUCUAAAAGUAAGGCAAGUGGAAUGUGAAUAAUUUGUGUUGUGGUCAAGACUACUACAGUUUGGUGUCUCUGUUUGCAUUCAUCAGGGCUGUUGGACGUGAAUCAGAGGCUAGCAAUUACAAACCAGAACUAAUAACUAAAAAUCCCUGCUCUCUUUUUGAUGCAGUUGAGCUCAUUCCAGACCUCUUGGCCUUCUAGACCCAUGCCAUUGCAGUGAGGUGAGAACAGCUCGACAUGAGCCUUCUCAAAACCGUGCUGGAGCAGUAUCCCUCAACCUUGCUGUUCACAGGUGAUGAUCCGGAGCAAGCUGGGUGUUGCAGCACCAGAGCCCUGUGUCCUGAUCACUGUAAACCUGAGAUUCUGCCUUGGGAACCAGUUCUGUAAUGGCUAUGCUGCAUCAAAUGGUCACACUCAUCAGGAGAGUCACAGCCACUGCCGUCCCGGACCCACCUUUAUUUCCUCCAGUUCCCACUUCAUUUACCCCAAACAUUUCUUCAAGUUUGCCUGUUUCUGGAUUUAUGGAGAGGUGAGUAUAAAAUCAAUGACUGCAGUGAUGCUGCUGGAGGUACCAUGCACUUGUGGGUUGGUUGGCUGGUUCCAGGCAGAAGGGGUCACAUGUGAAUUCUUCAUCUUGUACCCUGAGACGUUACUAAGUGAUGAUUCUCGCGUAUCCAGCUGUCAACGUCCGUGA